rfam:Pteropus alecto contig35588, whole genome shotgun sequence.
GUCUACAGCCAUGCCACCCUGAAGAAGCCCGAUCCUGUCUGAUCUCGGAAGCUAAGCAGGGUUGGGCCUGGUUAGUACUUGGAUGGGAAACUACCUAGGAAGACCAGGUGCUAGAGGUG